rnacentral:rRNA from 1 species
CGGACUGCUCAGUAACACGUGGAUAACCUACCCUUGGGACUGGAAUAACCCCGGGAAACUGGGGAUAAUACCGGAUAGAUCAGGGAUGCUGGAAUGCACCUUGAUCCAAAGCUCCGGCGCCCAAGGAUGGGUCUGCGGCCUAUCAGGUAGUAGUGGGUGUAACGUACCUACUAGCCAACGACGGGUACGGGUUGUGAGAGCAAGAGCCCGGAGAUGGAUUCUGAGACACGAAUCCAGGCCCUACGGGGUGCAGCAGGCGCGAAACCUUUACAAUGUGCGAAAGCAUGAUAAGGGAACUCCGAGUGCCAGUAUCUAAUACUGGCUGUCCUUGUGCCUAAAACGCACAAGAUAGCAAGGGCCGGGUAAGACCGGUGCCAGCCGCCGCGGUAACACCGGCGGCCCGAGUGGUAGCCGCUAUUAUUGGGUCUAAAGGGUCCGUAGCCGGUCCGAUAAGUCCUCUGGGAAAUCUGGUUGCUUAACAAUCAGACUGCCAAGGGAUACUGUCGAACUUGAGACCGGGAGAGGUAAGAGGUACUUCAGGGGUAGGAGUGAAAUCUUGUAAUCCCUGGGGGACCAUCUGUGGCGAAGGCGUCUUACCAGAACGGGUCUGACGGUGAGGGACGAAAGCUGGGGGCGCAAACCGGAUUAGAUACCCGGGUAGUCCCAGCCGUAAACGAUGCUCGCUAUGUGUCAGGUACGGUGUGACCGUAUCUGGUGCCGUAGGGAAGCCGUGAAGCGAGCCACCUGGGAAGUACGGCCGCAAGGCUGAAACUUAAAGGAAUUGGCGGGGGAGCACUACAACGGGUGGAGCCUGCGGUUU